rnacentral:lncRNA from 1 species
UAGCACCAUACCAAUCAUCGUCUAUUCUCCUAUAGAAAAGCCUUCAAUGGCCUACCAAUAACAGCUACGUUAUCUCCCUUCUUUAUUAAACUUUUUAACACUAACUUUAUUAUUGCAUAAAGAGAAAUCACAAACCCAACACAAUCAAAACACCAAUAACUUAAAUCCUAAAAUAAGCAAUUUACAAAUUAAAAUCGACCAGUUCUCCUUUUUUGCUAACCAUUCAAAUAAAACCAGAAAACAAAUAUCCCAUACCAAUCAGCUCAACUCAAACUCAACGGUUAAUCAACAAUUUAAGUCUGCAUCAACACAAAUCCACGUUUGAUUUAACAAAGCCAAUGCCUUCAGAUAGUUUGUUUCAACAAGUUAUACGCUUAUUUUUAUUUCGAAUCAGGUAUUGAUAUUAUUUAUUGCUCAACAAGAUUCCAUAAUAUUCUUCCUUAAUGCUACACUAAGUAGAAUCCGUAACCACUUCUGAUCAAUAAUACUCUAUCCGUUUCAAAAUAUAUGUUCUAGAAAAAUAUUUUCUUUCAAAAAGAUAUACUUUUAUACUUUCAAUGUAUUAUUUUGUCUACUAAUAAUGAAAAUAGUGAAUUUAAAAAAUAUUAAUUGUAUUUUUAAAGUCUCAUUGGUUUAGAAAUAUAUGAGAUAUAAAGUUACAAAAACUAUGCAUUAAUAACUAAGUUUUAAAUUUUUUUAUAGUAAUAAUAAUUUCUGACAAAAACAUAUAGUAAUAAUAAUAUUUCAUAUAAUUUUCAGUGUAUUUAACACAUACCCCAGUUUUAAAAGUUGUUUAAUUUAAAGCAAUGAUUAUUUAAAUUAGCUUUACUUAUUAUAAUUCUAAAAAAAUAAAUUAUAAUAGUAAGAAAAUAUAUUAUGAAAGAUUAAAUUACAUAUAAAUAAAAACAUAUAAAAGAUUAAAUUACAUAUAAAAACAUAUAGUAAUAAUAAUUGCUGACAUAUAAUAUAGUAAUAAUAAAUGCUGACAAAAAAUAUAGUAAUAAUAAUAUUUCAUAGAAUUUUUAGUGUAUUUAACACAUACACCAUUUUUAAAAGUUGUUUAAUUUAAAUCAGUGAGUAUUUAAAUUAGCUUUGCUUAUUAUAAUUAUGAAAAAUAAAUUCUAAUCGUAUGAAAAUGUAUUAUAAAAGACUAAAUUACAUAUAAAAACAUAAAUAUGAUAUAAAUAAAACAUAACAAAGAAACAUGUGAUUUGUAGAUUAAUAAUAUAUUUUCUUAUUAACCUAAAUAUGUAAGAAAAUAUAUUUUGGAUAAUAACUACGAGUUAACAAAUUCUUUAUUCAUUUCACAUUUGUUCACCAUCUCAUACAUAGUUUAGAUAGUAAAAAUAUUGUAAGUUUUACUCAUUUCUGAUUCAAAACACUCUUUAUAUUUUUAUAACAUAUCAGUAAUAUAUUGUAUAUAGAUAUUAAAUACAUUAUUUGAAUAAACGCGGACGUAGCCCGAACAAAAUCUCUAGUUACUUAAAUAGUUCUAAACAUUAUGCUUGUAGACCCAUCUAAUAACUUUCCAAAUUUCUAGUAUGAAUAUUUAAAAAUGAGAAAAAGAUAAAAAUAACACUAAAUCAAGUUUUUGUUCCCAAACUAGCACUCAAGGUCAAAAGUCACAAAAAU